AUGGUCCUGAGGAACAGCGACGGCAACAUUAUCUUCACUUCAUGCAGACACUUGUUUGCAUGUGAUAAUGCACUACGAGCUGAGUUGGAGGCGUGCAAAGAGGGAAUUUCUCUUGCGCUGGAAUGGAGUUCGUUGCCUUUUAUCAUUGAAACGGACAGCUCAGUGGCUGCAAGGAUGAUCAGCCAAGCUGAUGUUGAUCGAUCUAAGGAUGCUGCACUAGUCCAGGAGAUCAAAAUGCUAACCAGGGGUGAUAGGAGGGUCCAGGUGAAGGCUAUUAAACGUGAGAGGAAUCAGGUUAGUCACGAGCUUGCUCGUAUAGCUCGUACAACAUAA
rnacentral:rRNA from 1 species